GGUAUGGCUGCGUGGGGUAAAGCGGCGGUCUUGUCUUUUGAUACGGGGCGUUAUGGCGCAAGCCAUCGUGGGUUCGAAUCCUACUCCCACCGCCA
rnacentral:tRNA from 1 species